GAAACAUUAGCUGUACCAUAUUGAUGUCUCAGGCCUUUAGAGACAAAUUCUAUUCACCAUUGUUGUUUUAAGGUAUUAUUGCAAGUUUUCAUUAACUAUGUUGAGCUUUAAAAAAAAAAGUAAUACCGUAUUAGGUUUGGUGUGAAGUCCUAUAAUAAUACCUUCAAGUUAUAACUACAAUACAUAUGUAACAAUAAUAAAAAUAAAUGAAAUUUUUUUUUGUUAGAAACAAACAAACAUACCAAAUCAGCAGUUUUUUUUGUUUUUUU